rnacentral:rRNA from 1 species
AGCGAACGCUGGCGGCAGGCCUAACACAUGCAAGUCGAACGAACCUUUCGGGGUUAGUGGCGGACGGGUGAGUAACACGUGGAACGUGCCUUUAGGUUCGGAAUAACUCAGGGAAACUUGUGCUAAUACCGAAUGUGCCCUUCGGGGGAAAGAUUUAUCGCCUUUAGAGCGGCCCGCGUCUGAUUAGCUAGUUGGUUGAGGUAAUGGCUCACCAAGGCGACGAUCAGUAGCUGGUCUGAGAGGAUGAUCAGCCACAUUGGGACUGAGACACGGCCCAAACUCCUACGGGAGGCAGCAGUGGGGAAUCUUGCGCAAUGGGCGAAAGCCUGACGCAGCCAUGCCGCGUGAAUGAUGAAGGUCUUAGGAUUGUAAAAUUCUUUCACCGGGGACGAUAAUGACGGUACCCGGAGAAGAAGCCCCGGCUAACUUCGUG